rnacentral:rRNA from 1 species
UACGUAGGGUCCGAGCGUUGUCCGGAAUUAUUGGGCGUAAAGGGCUCGUAGGCGGUUUGUCGCGUCUGCUGUGAAAACUCGGGGCUUAACUCCGGGCCUGCAGUGGGUACGGGCAGACUAGAGUGCGGUAGGGGAGACAGGAAUUCCUGGUGUAGCGGUGAAAUGCGCAGAUAUCAGGAGGAACACCGGUGGUGAAGGCGGGUCUCUGGGCCGUAACUGACGCUGAGGAGCGAAAGCGUGGGGAGCGAACAGG